rnacentral:antisense_RNA from 1 species
GGCCAUCAGAAGGAAGCCUGGACAGGUCCCUUGUUUCUAAGAAUUCAGAGGCUUGCUGACUCUAACUGUGCUUGAAGCAAGAUGACUGCAGGUUGCACAGUGAACCAUUGGGAAAGUUUGCCUUUUUGGGGAUGAACUGAUUUUCCAACCCUGAUGCUGGCGGAAAUUGAGUGAUGGAACUAAGGUCAUCUGGUGCUCUCCUUGAGCUGCUUAAUAAACAGUAAAGCUAUUCCUUUCUAUUUAAUGGCAUAAAAAGGGAUUGAUUUUUAGUCACCUUUCCAGGAAGUGCUUCCUGAACCUGAAAACCUGCAUGGAGAAAUUGAACAAAUUGUUCUUAAAGGGUAAACCAAGGAAAUUGUGUCCAAGAUCCCUGUUUCUCACAAAGAAUAGGAAAAGGAACCAGGUAGUUAGAUGUAUGGUUGGUACAAGGCAUUAUGUACACUUCUUUUGGUUCUGAGGUUAAUAAAGACAAAGAAGAGAAAAAGGC